GAGCUCAGGACUGCCCCUUCUUUAUGAUGAAACUUCUCAUCUGAAGAAAAUAGAAACGGAGAGUGUGAAGGUAGUUGGACCAUGGCCAGCCCUGCACAUCAGCAUGAACAAGGGUGAAGAGAAGAAAGUGUCUGAAAAGACUCUUCAUGCCCCCGUGUCACCUUCCUCUGUACCUGAUCAUAUGAAAUGUAACAUCCUUAAAGCUCAAGUAGAAGCUGCUUUCAGAGUGGGUACCCAGGUAAUCUGUGAAAGGAAGAGACCU